UUGAACUUAUUUAAAACAUAUUAUUCGUGUGUAUUGAUUUUAAGACUGCAUGUAUUCAAUUUUCCUUACAUAUAUGACUCGAAUCAAUCAGAUUUGCAAGAACCCAACACCAAAAAGCAUUCGGACAGUAGUAAUGAACAGCAACAGAAGAUGAUGAUGAGAAAGCAAGCCCAUAUAGCAAUUCUUGUUAAAACCAAAAUAAAAAAGGCAAAAGCUUCCCCACUUUAUAAAGUUUAUAAUGUGAAUAGAAGCUACUUGAAGCCGAUUAUUUUCUAAAGUUAUUUUGGGGGACCGUAAUUUCUUGAGCUGGAAUUUGAUUAUACUUAGUGGGAUUUUUAGGGGUUGGGGUUAUAUGGAUUAAUUGGUAAGAAACGAGUGAUAUUUGCAUAUUAUGUACUUAUUUUUGAUUCCCUGUUAAUUUUUAGGGAAGAAAUAAGAUUUUUGAAGGGAAGAGUGUGAGUGCAGUGUUGGAGGAAGAGGUUGAAGAUUUAGUAGAAAAGCUAGAGGAGUUAACAAAGAGUUCCACAGCUAAAGGCCAUGAGUUUCGAAAUUGUAGUAAUUUCAAUAAGAAAGUGUGUGUAUUACAGCACCGGUUAGAGAAACUUCGAGUGUUAUUGGAUGAUAAUUCUGCGAAGGAGUUGCAGGAACUAGCUGAAUCGAGCUUCUCCAUCACUACAUGUUACGAUAUAGUUCAAGAGAGCUCUGCUUUAAGUCAGAUAAGCAAAAAUUAGUCCACCAAUGUGGAUAAGCUGAGAAGAAAUAUGAAGGGACUGUCAAAGGGUAGUGAAAGCAAUAAAAGAGAAGUUUUUGGGCAUACCCCCAAUCAUUUGUUUUACAAGACAUUUUCUUGUGGACUCUGGCUGUGAAGUUCCUUUAAUAAAGUGUUGAAAUAUUCUUUG